CCAGUGCUUAGUAAUGAGGAGGGACAUAUUGUCCUUGCCAGGCCCGGCCAGCACUUCCAGGCCGGCGAGCCGCGGCAGCUGUCUUGUCCCGGAUAUAUAAGGCCACACUCCUAGAGCUGCACACACUCAGUCUACUGGUCAGUGACUGACGAACGUCCCAACGCUUCUGCUCCAGCUCAACGCUCCCUCCAGCAGUUCAAGAUGAACUUCCUCCGCGUCGUGGCAGUACUUGUGGCGGUGCUGGUCGCCGUGGCCUCCGUCACCGAGGCGUCACCCUUCAUCGGCCGCCGCGGCGGUCAUGGCGGCCGUCGUGGCGGUGGCGUCUCAAACGGCGUCAACGGCAUCGUCGGGGAUGCGUACUCCGAUGUCGGAGGAAACAUCUUCCCCGCCUACCCCAACCCCCUGGGCUUCGUGGGCUAGACAGCGAAGGCGAGCCUGCUGCCGCAGUAGCAGCAGCAGCAGCAGCAGCGACAGCAGCAGCAGAAUUAACACAUCAAGAACAACAACAAGAACGCGGCGCCGCGCGUUGCCGCCGUCGACGCCGUCGGUCGGCGGUCGCGCCGCAAAGAUGACGCCGCCGCGUCCCGGCCACCAGCAGGCCGCCACAUACCACGUCGCCGCGACCUUGGAGGAAGAAUAUAAUAUCUACUAUUCCUCCAAGGCCGCGACGAUCGUCAGUAGCGCCCACGUGCAGCAGCGUCAAGGCUGCAGCAACAAGUUUUAUUUAUCGGUGCGAGAAGUUUUACUGAGUCGGGUGACAGUGUAGAGCUGCGACAUCAGCUGACAUUGUGGCACAGGCCACACAAUAAUGGUCUGUCUGCUCUGGCUGCAAGACAUCAUCCGUAAAUAGACAAUCAUUUCUCGUGAUCUUGCUCAUUAUAGCCAAACAUGUUUUGUAGUAUAGAUAUUGACGAUGCUUGUGUACUAUAGACCGUUGCCAAGUCUGUUAGACAACAUAAUGCUCAAUAUAGUCAGAUCGCUGUGAAGGCAUAAAAUUGUCGCUAUUGUGAUGAAAAUAUUUUUGUAAACUUGUUUACGUCUGCUUGGUUCUAUUUUUCUUCUAUUGCUGAUUGCUAACUUUCAUCGUUCUUUGAUAUAGUAAACGUUGUGUAACCUAUUGAAUAAACUUAAUGAAUAACUCGAA